UCUUACCCAAAACUAUAGUUAUCGGAAUUCUAAAAGUUGCUACAGAAACUGUGCUUGAUAUAUAAAUACAUGAAAUUAUAUGUACAUAAAAAUCCAUUAUAUGUAUGAACACACAUGUAGCUAUGUUCUUAGAAAUGCUGUUUGAGCAAAUGCACACAUACUAUAUACAAAAUAGAAAAUAGAGCAUCCAAAUGGCAUAAAUAUGCAGAUAAAUAUAAAUAAAUAGAGAAAUUGAAAAAGCGGCGAAAUAGACAACGGGCGAAUUGUUGCUACCAAUAUUGUGUGGGUGUGUAUAUAAAUAUACAUACAUACACAUACAUAUUUAUAAAUGCGUCAUAUAAGGAUCUAUGUCCGUGUGCGGUAGAGUAGCGCACGCAAUGGUUAUAUAACCGUAUCCAUGAAAGUAUUGCGAGUGCUUGCAAGAGUGAGAUAGACGGCAUAGAAAGCAAUUCUAGUUACUCAAAAAAAUGUUUUUUUGUUGAUGAUUUUGCACUUUUUCCCAAUUGUCGCCGCAUUUCUUGCUUGCUUUAUUCACCUCACAUUACCUCUCUUUUACACUGCUGUUGCUCUCAUCUCACAAUUAUUAAGUAAAAUGAAAUCUGUGUGCGCAGAUUGAAGCCCGCUAAGUUUGAUAUUAUUUGAUUGCGAUGACUGCAGCGAAUGCGUCUCGUCUCGUCUCGUCUGGUGUGCGUUUAGCGUAACGCUAAUAAAUUAAAAGCAAUCACAUAUUCGCCGCGGUCGCGGCCGCUACCCUGCUUGUGUUGCUCCGAGAGCGAGAGGCGUCGUAUUUAUAUUGUUUGUAGGGGGUGGACAGGGGUCGGUAGGGUUUGCCUGCACGUUUUUUAAUUAACACCAAUUAGUGCUUGGCAUUUGUCAUUGUCGUAGUCAACACUUGUGUCGCAUUUUAAUUUAAAUUAAAGAGCGGCCAGACAAAUAUAAGCAAUACAAAAUCAAGGCCCCCAAUCAAAGUUGCCGCCCUCCAUUGGCCUCUUUCGCCGUGAUUCGGCAGCAGAGCCAAUGUGACGUCACAUAACAGAACAAAGUUCAGCGUGGGCGCAACUAUUAUGUAAGCGAGCGCAGGAUGAAUGGCCGCUCUGCCUGACUGCCGGACUGUCUGACUCCCUGAGUGCCUGCUGGCCUGUCGGCAAACUCGUGUGGCUACGCUCGUGCAUUGGGUAGUUCGGGUCGUUGCGCCUUCGGUAGCAAUUUCGCCGUUGCCGUCUUGACAGUCGGAAUUGUGCUUUUGCCGUGGACGAACGUUCAUUCGUAAAUAGUGUGGAGCAGAAGAGCGAAGAAGAAAGAAAGAAAAAAAAAAAAUAGAAUCAGUAGCAACACGGGAAAAUAAAAUAAAAAUUAAUAAGAGAGGAAGAAAGCUCCAAAUCAACAGAAAGUAUUGCGCACGCUAAGGUAAAGGCAGAGGCAAACGCAAACGCAAGUAAAACAACAAAUUCAAAAUCAGCUGAGAAACCGAUGCAGACGCAGCAGUAGCGGCAGCAUCAAGAGUAAGAUUAGCGAAACGUGAGUUCAAAUUGGCAUAAAGUGUACUAAAAAUCAAGGCGAAAAAAAAAAAAAAAAAAAAAAA
rnacentral:sRNA from 1 species